GACGAACGCUGGCGGCGUGCUUAACACAUGCAAGUCGAACGGAAAGGCCCUGCUUUUGUGGGGUGCUCGAGUGGCGAACGGGUGAGUAACACGUGAGUAACCUGCCCUUGACUUUGGGAUAACUUCAGGAAACUGGGGCUAAUACCGGAUAGGAGCUCCUGCUGCAGGGUGGGGGUUGGAAAGUUUCGGCGGUUGGGGAUGGACUCGCGGCUUAUCAGUUUGUUGGUGGGGUAGUGGAUUACCAAGGCUUUGAUGGGUAGCCGGCCUGAGAGGGUGACCGGCCACAUUGGGACUGGGAUAGGGCCCGGACUCCUGGGGGAGGCAGCAGUGGGGAGUAUUGCACGAUGGGCGGAAGCCUGAUGCAGCAACGCCGCGUGCGGGAUGACGGCCUUCGGGUUGUAAACCGCUUUCGCCUGUGACGAAGCGUGAGUGACGGUAAUGGGUAACGAAGCACCGGCUAACUACGUG
rnacentral:rRNA from 1 species